rnacentral:rRNA from 1 species
AAACUUUCAACAACGGAUCUCUUGGUUCUGGCAUCGAUGAAGAACGCAGCGAAAUGCGAUAAGUAAUGUGAAUUGCAGAGAUUCAGUGAAUCAUCGAAUCUUUGAACGCACAUUGCGCCCGCCAGUAUUCUGGCGGGCAUGCCUGUUCGAGCGUCAUUU